UCACAGAAGUAGACUGUACAGUCGGUGG
rnacentral:sRNA from 1 species